GCUUACUUGGUGAAAUCUAGGUAAACACGUCAGACUUAAAAUCUGUUCCUUUUAAAGGUUACUGGUUCAAGUCCAGUAGUAAGCA
rnacentral:tRNA from 1 species